rnacentral:lncRNA from 1 species
GCCUCUAUUCAACCCUCGGUGAACAUAGCCAUAACACCCAAAGGCUCACCUUCACCAAAUGAACCAACACCGACAACACCAUGAACAACAAAACUCCACCUGAAAGCAAACCAGAGAUGAAGCAAAAGGGACGAAACCCAAUGGACACAGAGAAUCCAUACCCAUGGCCGAAGAGGCUACCACCCUCAACUGCCCACCAAUGGAGGAGAGACGUCGACCACCAAACAAAACCCACAACGCCACUAACCACCACGAACAAUC